rnacentral:rRNA from 1 species
AGAACGAACGCUGGCGGCGCGUUUAAGCAUGCAAGUCGAGCGGCAAGGGCCUUCGGGCCCUAGAGCGGCGACGGGUGAGUAACACGUGGACAAUCGUGACCCCCCGGCCCGGGAUAGCCCAGGGAAACCUGGAUUAAUACCGGAUGAGACGGGACCCGCGAUGGCGGGACCCGGGAAAGGCGCUGCGGCGCCGCCGGGGGAUGAGUCUGCGUCCCAUUAGCUAGACGGCGGGGUAACGGCCCACCGUGGCGACGAUGGGUAGCCGGCCUGAGAGGGUGGACGGCCACAUUGGAACUGAGACACGGUCCAGACUCCUACGGGAGGCAGCAGCUAAGAAUCUUCCGCAAUGGGCGAAAGCCUGACGGAAGCGACGCCGCGUGAACGAAGAAGGCCGUGAGGUUGUAAAGUUCUUUUCGGGAGGGGAACAACCGUGGCAGGGAAUGGCCGCGGGAUGACGUGAAUCCCGGAGUAAGCCCCGGCUAACUACGUGCCAGCCGCGGC